CCCCACCUGACUCCCCAGGGGAAGUCACCCCGAAGCAGCGCCUGCGGGCCUCCCCCGCCGCGGAGCGUCCCUUCCCUCUUUCACCCCACCUACUGUCUGCGCAGGCGUUACAGGAGGAGUCGCCACCAGGACCUCGUGGCGCAACGGUAGCGCGUCUGACUCCAGAUCAGAAGGUUGCGUGUUCAAAUCACGUCGGGGUCAAGUCCAGAGAGACUUCUUGUGAACCAUUCAGCAACAGACAGGCAUUAACUGAGAGGACUAAGCUUCAGAGGGGAUAUCAGAUGACUUCAGAUGGGACAGUAAAACAGGGCGUGAGGAGUCUUUGCUAAUGAAUUCACCCUGGUGUGAAUAUAGUUUUAUUUGGUCCCCACACAGGUAUGGUACAGUCUCCC
ensembl:lncRNA